GAGUUUGAACCUGGCUCAGGAUGAACGCUGGCGGCGUGCCUAAUACAUGCAAGUCGAGCCAACCACUUCGGUGGUGAGCGGCGAACGGGUGAGUAACACGUAGGUGAUCUGCCCAUCAGACGGGGACAACGAUUGGAAACGAUCGCUAAUACCGGAUAGGACGAAAGUUUAAAGGUGCUUCUGGCACCGCUGAUGGAUGAGCCUGCGGCGCAUUAGCUAGUUGGUAGGGUAAAGGCCUACCAAGGCGACGAUGCGUAGCCGACCUGAGAGGGUGAACGGCCACACUGGGACUGAGACACGGCCCAGACUCCUACGGGAGGCAGCAGUAGGGAAUCUUCGGCAAUGGGCGAAAGCCUGACCGAGCAACGCCGCGUGAAUGAUGAAGGCCUUCGGGUUGUAAAAUUCUGUUAUAAGGGAAGAACGACUUUAGUAGGAAAUGGCUAGAGUGUGACGGUACCUUAUGAGAAAGCCACGGCUAACUACGUGCCAGCAGCCGCGGUAAUACGUAGGUGGCGAGCGUUAUCCGGAAUUAUUGGGCGUAAAGAGCGCGUAGGUGGUUGAUUAAGUCUGAUGUGAAAGCCCACGGCUUAACCGUGGAGGGUCAUUGGAAACUGGUCGACUUGAGUGCAGAAGA
rnacentral:rRNA from 1 species